rnacentral:rRNA from 1 species
GAUGAACGCUGACAGCAUGCUUAACACAUGCAAGUCUACUUGAACUUCGGUUUGGGUGGCGGACGGGUGAGUAACGCGUAAAGAACUUGCCUCACAGUUAGGGACAACAUUUGGAAACGAAUGCUAAUACCUGAUAUUAUGAUUUUAGGGCAUCCUAGGAUUAUGAAAGCUAUAUGUGCUGUGAGAGAGCUUUGCGUCCCAUUAGCUAGUUGGAGAGGUAACGGCUCACCAAGGCGAUGAUGGGUAGCCGGCCUGAGAGGGUGAACGGCCACAAGGGGACUGAGACACGGCCCUUACUCCUACGGGAGGCAACAGUGGGGAAUAUGGGACAAUGGACCAAAAGUCUGAUCCAGCAAUUCUGUGUGCACGAUGACGUUUUUCGGAAUGUAAAGUGCUUUCAGUUGGGAAGAAAAAAAUGACGGUACCAACAGAAGAAGUGACGGCUAAAUACGUG